rnacentral:lncRNA from 1 species
CAUUAUAGUAUAUUUUGUCACGAAAUCGCCAAAGGGGGAGAUUGUUAAGGAUUUUAUAGGUUGGCGAAUUUCGUAAUGUUGAAUGGAGUCUUGAAGAGUUGAUCGCGGAAGUUUUUGAAGAAAAGAUUCAAAUUGAAGAACAAAUAUUCAUUCGUAAAGUUCGGCAUCUAAGGUAUGAAGAAAAGAUCAUUUGUCACGUCCCGCUAUCGCCAAUUUGGUCGAUCCGGGCCUGUACACAGACGCCGAACAGACAGAACCUCCUCUGCCCGCCCAAGGCUCAACAACAACGAGUACAUGUACAAUGAAAUAAACAAUUCCCAGGAUAACAUUUCAACAUACAUGGCUUGCACGAGGGCAAGCAACAACCACAAGUGAUAGUAAGCUAACUAUACUGAAAAUUCACUGUAAUUUAAAACUUUCAAACCAAACUGUAUAACUGAAACAUUUAGUUAUUCACAUGCUUUAUAAUACAUUCAUUUACAUGUCUCUGUACAUCAAAAUAGAUGAUACAUGAACUCAAAAUGGUAACUGCUAAAACCCUGGUGUCAGCUAGCUAAGCUGCGGGGCUCUUGCCACGAUCCUCGGCCACACCGCUCGCACUGGAACCUGUAAGGUUAGUGGUAUGAGAACUACUGAAAGUUCUCAGUGGGUUCGACCGCCGAAUUCGCCGACUCACCCACUAGGUCUACUCAGGCAUAUGUAGGUAAGCAAGUAAACAGAUAGUAACCAACUAUAACAUGUAACUACUACAAUGCCUGUACAAAGCUGAAAGAAGCAAUAUAUGAAAAUUGUAAAUAUGCAUGCAUGCUUUACUGAAUUUACCCAAUUAAUUGGUUAACCCUUUGGUUAACAAUAACUCACUGACACUAUCCCAAAUAUCGGGGAGACGCAAGCUACACCCGACGGGACUGUCAACUGGGGGAGACGCACCUCCUGGUCCAGUAAAGAUGACUACUCCGGAGCUCAUCGUUCAAGGAGGAGCGACCUACCUUGAACCAAACGAAUGUGAGUAUGAUCUGAUCCUCCUUUAGAGGAUUCAACAAUAGACGAUGUCACACUUAACUCUAACUAGCUCUUUAUGCUAGUUUCACAAUUCCAUUUCUCGAUGCUAACCAACUCUCUAAUUAGAAUGUCACCAAGUUUACUAUUAUUAUAGUCCAAGCAUUCAUAGGGUUCUAUGUUCACAUUCUGUUGUUCAUAUAUUCUCAUGGUUAAUAAGCAUUUGCAUAAUCAAUAUCAUUUACAUAAUAUCAAUACCCUAUAAUGCAUGAUUACAAUAUAAAUAUGCUCAAUGAAUUAGCAUAGACAUAAAAGGUGAUUCAAAGAUUUCGGAUAGCACCACCCACCUGUAGGGAUGCCAACAAAUUGGAUCCAACAUCUCGAACUGUCGUAACGACGAGCUCUCGCGACUCCGUGCAAAUAGAACUAAAACGGCUUCUACCGUAAUUUGUGCGCCGCAGACCUGUCGGAAUGUCAAUUUACACUUCCGAGCAUGUUUAACUAUCAUUCAUAAGAGAAUAAAAGAGCUUAGACUAGAGUCACCUAUACAUUUUACUAAAACUUGCACUUCUACUUCAACUUGCAUGUGUGUAUAUAUAUAUAUAUAUAUAUAUAUAUAUAUACAUUUAGGACUAUUUUCAUUAAGUUCAUAGUAUUCAGAAGUUUUAGUAUUUUAAGAACCCCUGUUCCCUACUUCUUUACAACAAGAAUCUCUUUAAACUAUGAGUUACAUCAAUCCCUUUCAGAUUUUGCUCUAAUUAAUUCUCCAUAUGUACAUGUAUAUAUAGUUUUCGUUUCUUGUACAGCUUCAAUGUUAAUCUUAACUUCAAUUAUCAACAAUAGAACCAUUAUCUUCAUUAUUCAUAUUCUAUUAGCAAUUCUAUUGCUCAUACUGCUGGUGGAGCAAUCUUGGUAGUUUUUAAACAGGGAAAAGUCAACUUAUUCCUAAUUGCACCUCCACUAAUACAUAGUUCAUAAUUAUCAAACUUAUUUUGGGGGUUUAAUUAGCUCAAUAGCCAUAUUCCUUCAAAUUAGCCUCUUUAUAAAGUAAGUAAUUGAUCCAUAAUCAGAAGUUGAGCAAUUACUUUACCUCAAAGCAGCAACUUCAGCAAUACUUAAUUAAGGCACCAACAUAGCAGCUCCAAACUUCCUUAAUUAAGGCAUCAACAUCGCAGCUCCAAUCUUCCUUAAUUAAGGCAUCAACAUCGCANUCGCGUGAAGCCGAGGAUUCGGUGGACGCUUCGAGGAGUUGAGGCGUUGACGCUGCAAGGAGUUGCGGCAGGAUCGGUUGGAGGAUUCCUAUCGAUCAAGGACUGGCGAAGAUCACCAUCAAUAAGAAAUCGGUAAAUUGAGUCCUGUAUUUUUGUCAAAAUCGCUUGUACUCAAGUUUUCUUAAUGGAUUUUCUUCGCGUGAUCGGUCCCGUGGGUUUUUCACUCCGGUUUGGAGUUUUCCCACGUUAAAUUCUCGGUGUGCUAUUUUAUUUUCCGCUAUUUAGCUUUAUUUGCAUCGAGAUUUUUGAGUUUGCCGUUUUUACACCUAUUCACCCC